UGGGGAAUAUUGCACAAUGGGGGAAACCCUGAUGCAGCGACGCCGCGUGAAGGAAGAAGUAUUUCGGUAUGUAAACUUCUAUCAGCAGGGAAGAAAAUGACGGUACCUGACUAAGAAGCCCCGGCUAACUACGUGCCAGCAGCCGCGGUAAUACGUAGGGGGCAAGCGUUAUCCGGAUUUACUGGGUGUAAAGGGAGCGUAGGCGGUGCAGCAAGUCAGAAGUGAAAGCCCGGGGCUCAACUCCGGGACUGCUUUUGAAACUGUUGAACUAGAUUGCAGGAGAGGUAAGUGGAAUUCCUAGUG
rnacentral:rRNA from 1 species